rnacentral:lncRNA from 1 species
UUUCAGAGAGGUCGCUUGGGUCCAUCAGAGUCUCUGCCGUCACUACCUCUUGGGCGGAAGCCCCGCCACCUCUUCCAGGAUGUGGCAGAGCCGGGCGUCCUCGCCAUUCUGGAUGGCCCACCGCAAGGCCUGGAUCUCCAGUUCUCGCUGUCUCCACAGCAGCCGCAGUGUGCGAGGGUCCAGGGACUCAAGAGCCAACCUGCAGCGGCAGCAGACCCUGCUGCUUACUCAGGCCGGCCCCUGGCCACCUGGCCCAGGAGGCUCACCAGUCCUCCCUCUCCUCCUUACUGCGGGUCGGCAGAGCAGACCACCGGUGCGGGGUGGGGCGUGGUGUCUGGCAGGCACGUGGGAGUCUCGGGGGCUGCAGGUGCGCCUGCUGGAGGUCCCAGGUGACCACUGACCGACUCUUGCUCUGUGGGGGACAGGAGAGCCUCUUCCUCGGUUUCUUCAACCUCCUGGCCAGACUUGGGGGCCAUUCUCAAUGUUCUUCGGGAGCUGGGAGGGGUGGGGGGCCCGUCUGCCGUGUGCGCCUCGUGUGGCCACACAGGUUGGAGCAGCCCAGGCGUCACCACUUACUCACAGAGCGUUGCUCUCUGAAGGGACCCACAUGUGGGUGUCCACACCCGUGUGUUUCUGACCAGGCUGGCGCAGCAGGUCACCACCCGACAUGUCCCUGGCGUGUACCCCUGCCACCCAGGUGCUGGCCCUUUGCCUGUGAUGUGGUGUCCCUCUUUCUCUCUCUUGUCCCCCCAGCUCAGGGCCCUACCCCCAGCACUCACCUGAGGCCCGACCUCCAAGCAGGCCUGGGAGGGAAGGGCUGUAUACCGUUGCCAUGGAUACCAGCACCCAGAAGGGGUGGGGCUGUUUGUUACCAGGAGCCUCCAGGGAGACCCCAGACCAGGCCCCUAGAGACAGGGUCUUGCUCCGCUGUCCAGGCUGGAAUGCUUCGGUGUGAUGACAGCGCACGUUAACCUCGAAUUCCUGGGCUCAGGUGAUCCUCCCACUUCCGCCUCCUGACUUGCUGAAACUACAGGCACCCGCCUCCACCGCCAGGCCCAGCCCACAGCUCCUUUGACCUCAGUGACAGGCACUCACCUACCUGACCCCCAAACUGAAGCCUCACUUUUCCCAGCCGUGUCCACACCCUCUGGGCUACCCCAUUACCAUGACAAGUAUUCCCUCUGCUCCAGGAGAAAAGCCAGGUCCCAGACCUGACCCAUUAAAACCCAAUCAUUCC